CCCUUAAACAGAUUGAGUACAGAGUACAAAACAAAAACAAACAGCUGGGAAGUCAUGUCACAUGACCCUGCAGCCUUUUAAUAAAAGAGGAAAUGAGACAUCGAGGUACAGUAAGUGAGGAUGGAGUUGUUUUGGGUUGCUGCGGUCUUUGGUCUCCUGUCCUCUGCACAGUCAGCUCCUGUUACCAGCUGUGAGACGCUCACCAAACAUGAUGACAUAAUAAGAGAUCAGCUGCUGGGAAAAUGGAUCCUUAUUGGAGAAACCACUGACAAAGAUGAAACGUUAUCAAUGAUAAGGUCGUUAGUGGACACUGUGUUUUGGAACAUCACAGAGACUGACACGACAGAUGGACUCCAAAUUUUCCACCAUCAGAAAACGUCUGGGGUUUGCGCAUCAUUACAAAUGGUGGCGACAGUGAAAAACAAAACUCUAACUAUGGACUAUCCCUAUCCUGCCACUUCCGUUAAACUGACCAGCAGCUGCCCUGACUGCCUGAUUUUGUACUCCAC
rnacentral:lncRNA from 1 species